rnacentral:lncRNA from 1 species
GGUGAUGCUGGCCCACCGGGGAGAGCUGUUGAAAUGAAGGACAUUGAAGGCUUGUUUGAUUCAUAUGGUAUUAAACUCUCGCUGCUGAAGGCCUUGAUUGACAGGCUGCUUCAGGAUGGAAUGGAGGAGCUUCUUCAUGAGAUCAGCACCAUCAGACGAGUGAAAGGAGACAGACAGGAGCCGGACUCAAACGUCAUCACCGAAUACACCGUGAGUAGCCUCCUGAACUUACAAAACAUCUCAGGUAAAUGAAUUACUAUAAUAAUAAUAAAAAUAAAACUCCUAGUCAGAUAGAUUUUCUGUUUAUGAUAAAUACCCACCAUUAGCAACAAUGUUCUUGCUGUAUAAAGUCUAUCUGAAUCAUAAGACCUCUUUCUAAUCUGCAGAGCUCAGUAAAGUACAGUCACCCACAAGAGUCAUUACCUGAUACACAUUUGACUGAGGAAGAGACUGAUUUUGAAGAGGGGCAGAUGCCUGAGCCCAGUCCUAAGCCUGUUGUACAAAAAGAAGUGGGUCCUAUCCUUUCGAACAUCUCUACUAUUCACAAAAAGGCUAACCAGAGUAAAACCAAAGACAAGCUGGUAGAUGUUGAAGAAAAGAAACUUGUGGAGACUAACUUCAGUGAUGUAACACCUUUGAAAUUUCUCCAAACCAACACUUCCUCUGAGAGGCUGGGCUCUGGGAAGGUAGAGGUAAGUAUGGAGACAGUUUUCCACAGCCAUGAGGACACGGGGAAGAAAACAUCUGGAGAGAAGAAGAAAGGCAGAGAUAGGGGAAAGGGCAAAGGAAAUAAAGGACGUCAAAAACGACAAAGGAAACGUUUGGAAGGUCAAGACAGCAUGGGAGAGGAGGUUGAGGAAGCAUCAUAUGACGAUGAGGAAUAUGAAUAUGAUGAUGAGCUGCCCACAGAAGAGCCCUUUCCCUCUCGAGAGGAGGAGGAGCUAAAAUACUCAGCAACAACAGCUAUAUACACACAAGAAAAUGAGGUAAGAGUGUAA